rnacentral:rRNA from 1 species
GCUUUGUCUUUUUGAAGCUUGGAUGUGAAGGCUUGCUGGCGUUUUUAAAUGUCCAGCUCCUUUGAAAAGUAUUAGUGAACCCGCUUGUGUUCAUCCUUAGUGUGAUAAUUAUCUACGCUACGGUCUUUGAAUGCAUGCUCAUUAGAAUCUUCGAGCUGUUUUUAUUUACAGUCUCGGUGUGGAGAGUUGCAUGCAUUUGCUCUUUCUGUCUUUUGAGUCAGGAUUGUUUGCUUAAAACCGUCUAUGUUAUUGUAGACAAUUUUGAACCAUUUGACCUCAAAUCAGGUAGGACUACCCGCUGAACUUAA